AGGUUUCUACUUUCUAAUGAGAUGGGGGAACUCUAAUUAUAUGAUAAACCAAAUGAAUAGAGCUUUGCUGCCUCUCCCUCUUAAAAUCCUAGCUGGGCAUCAUGUCGGCACUUUUCGCCGACCUCGUUCGAAGUACCAGGUUCGUCCCAUCCAUAUAAUAAGUUUCCCACUCUAUCUCCCUCUGUAAAUGACGAAUCCAAGGAAGAAAGCAUUUGGUUUUUCCGAUGGCGUUUUCCGGCCAAACGGUGAGCAUUCCGACGAAACCCCCGAAGUGGGGUGCAGCAUACAUAUUGUUGGAAUGAAAGUCCAGUUCCAGCAUACAUAUUACUUUACAUUUUGAAACAAAAAAAAAGGGGGGUUUGUGUUUCCAGUUCCAAUAGAGAGAAGUGAACAACUGGUUUCGGGGUUUGCGGAAGAGUAUGAUCAAUUUCAAUAAGCAUUAUUUUCUUUACUGCUCUCCCAAUUAAUUGUGACUUUCUUGAAAUUAUCUCCUUGGAAAUCUUGGAUCGAAGGGACUAAGUCCUCGAACGAAGACUAUCCCAUUGGUGAAAGAAUUGCAGAGGAGCCAUGUAGUAGAAGAUGCUGAGUGGGAACUGGAGGAGCAAAUGCGAGUAUAGUAUCUAGUAUCUACGUCUUUUUAGUACGAAAAUUUGGAGGUCUUAAGGAGGUAUUUUGUAAUACCUGACCUAAAUCAUAAAUAAAUUUCCCUUUA